GGACUACCCGGGUAUCUAAUCCUGUUUGCUCCCCACGCUUUCGUGCAUGAGCGUCAGUGUUGGCCCAGGAGGCUGCCUUCGCCAUCGGUAUUCCUCCACAUAUCUACGCAUUUCACCGCUACACGUGGAAUUCUACCUCCCUCUGCCACACUCCAGCUCCGUAGUUUCAAACGCCAUUCCCAGGUUAAGCCCGGGGAUUUCACGUCUGACUUGCGAAGCCGCCUGCGCACGCUUUACGCCCAGUAAUUCCGAUUAACGCUCGCACCCUACGUAUUACCGCGGCUGCUGGCAC
rnacentral:rRNA from 1 species